UAGGCCUGAUUACACAGCCGCACGUCCACAUCUGGGCCUUUGGGUACAAAGAUCUCAAAUCGUUUCUCUUCUGCUAUGUGCUGAUAAUGGAAAUCUGGUUCUUUUAUGGGACAGAGAAAAACUGUGUUAUUCUGCAGGGCACUAGAAGAUUUGGAGACGCAGACUUGGGAUCAUAUGACCAAAUGAGAGUAAUAAAACACAUGGAUACAGCUGCGCUGGAAUAAAACAGAUGGCACUGUAGGACUAGUGGUGGUAAAGGUGAAAAAAGAAUCUAAAGUCUCCAUCAGAAAACAAGUCGACCAAACCAACCAAUUUGGGCAGGACUGGCUGACCAUCUGUGUAUAGGAGCCUCCCGACUUUCCCCUGACAGAUGAUUUUGGCGAACAGAAGGAUCGGAUAUGUUGGAUUUUGACUACCUGUUCAUUUUCUUUUUGGAGAGAUAAGUCGGCAACAAAGAAGUCUGGCAGCAGAUAACUCUACAGCAUUCAGAGUCCAUGAAUGGUCAGUCACGGUAUGGUGGGACUGGGAGAGAAAACCGUCAGCCGAAUAAA